rnacentral:rRNA from 1 species
CGAACGAGCUCGAUUCUUCGGAUGAAAUGACUAGUGGCGGACGGGUGAGUAACGCGUGAGCACCUGCCCUUCAGAGGGGGAUAGUGUCUGGAAACGGACAGUAAUACCGCAUAACAUGGCAUCUUCAAAGCUUUUGCGCUGAAGGAUGGGCUCGCGUCUGAUUAGAUAGUUGGUGGGGUAAUGGCCUACCAAGUCGACGAUCAGUAGCCGGACUGAGAGGUUGAACGGCCACAUUGGGACUGAGACACGGCCCAGACUCCUACGGGAGGCAGCAGUGGGGAAUAUUGCACAAUGGGCGCAAGCCUGAUGCAGCAACGCCGCGUGGAGGAAGACGGUUUUCGGAUUGUAAACUCCUGUUCUUAGUGAAGAAUAAUGACGGUAGCUAAGGAGCAAGCCACGGCUAACUACGUGCCAGCAGCCGCGGUAAUACGUAGGUGGCAAGCGUUGUCCGGAAUUACUGGGUGUAAAGGGAGCGCAGGCGGGGGAGCAAGUCAGCUGUGAAAUCCAUGGGCUUAACCCGUGAACUGCAGUUGAAACUGUUCUUCUUGAGUGAAGUAGAGGUUGGCGGAAUUCCGAGUGUAGCGGUGAAAUGCGUAGAUAUUCGGAGGAACACCGGUGGCGAAGGCGGCCAACUGGGCUUUUACUGACGCUGAGGCUCGAAAGUGUGGGGAGCAAACAGGAUUAGAUACCCUGGUAGUCCACACUGUAAACG